CCUACGGGAGGCAGCAGUGAGGAAUAUUGGUCAAUGGCCGGGAGGCUGAACCAGCCAAGUCGCGUGAGGGACGAAUGCCCUGUGUGUUGUAAACCUCUUUUGUCAGGGAAGAAUAAAUGCUACGUGUCCCCUGAUGCCUGUACCUUAUGAAACAGCAUCGGCUAACUCCGUGCCAGCCGCCGCGGUAAUACGGAGGAUGCGAGCGUUAUCCGGAUUUAUUGGGUUUAAAGGGUGCGUAGGCGGUUUUUUAAGUUAGUGGUUAAACGUCGGGGCUUCACCUUGGUUUGCCAUUAAGACUGUAAGACUCGAGUUCAGGAGAGGUAGGCGGAAUAAGUUAAGUAGCGGUGAAAUGCUUAGAUAUAACUUAGAACUCCGAUAGCGAAGGCAGCUUACCAGACUGCGACUGACGCUGAAGCACGAGAGCGUGGGUAGCGAACAGGAUUAGAUACCCGAGUAGUC
rnacentral:rRNA from 1 species